rnacentral:rRNA from 1 species
AGUGAACGCUGGCGGUAGGCCUACACAUGCAAGUCGAACGGCAGCACAGUAAGAGCUUGCUCUUACGGGUGGCGAGUGGCGGACGGGUGAGGAAUACAUCGGAAUCUACUUUUUCGUGGGGGAUAACGUAGGGAAACUUUCGCUAAUACCGCAUACGACCUACGGGUGAAAGCAGGGGAUCUUCGGACCUUGCGCGAUUGAAUGAGCCGAUGUCGGAUUAGCUAGUUGGCGGGGUAAAGGCCCACCAAGGCGACGAUCCGUAGCUGGUCUGAGAGGAUGAUCAGCCACACUGGAACUGAGACACGGUCCAGACUCCUACGGGAGGCAGCAGUGGGGAAUAUUGGACAAUGGGCGCAAGCCUGAUCCAGCCAUACCGCGUGGGUGAAGAAGGCCUUCGGGUUGUAAAGCCCUUUUGUUGGGAAAGAAAAGCAGCAGGUUAAUACCCCGCUGUUCUGACGGUACCCAAAGAAUAAGCACCGGCUAACUUCGUG